rnacentral:rRNA from 1 species
CCUACGGGAGGCUGCAGUGGGGAAUAUUGCACAAUGGGGGAAACCCUGAUGCAGCGACGCCGCGUGAGUGAAGAAGUAUUUCGGUACGUAAAGCUCUAUCAGCAGGGAAGAAAAUGACGGUACCUGACUCAGAAGCCCCGGCUAACUACGUACCAGCAGCCGCGGUAAUACGUAGGGGGCAAGCGUUAUCCGGAUUUACUGGGUGUAAAGGGAGCGUAGACGGCAGCGCAAGUCUGGAGUGAAAUCCCAGGGGUUAACCAUGGAACUGCUUUGGAAACUGUGCAGCUAGAGUGGAGGAGAGGUAAGCGGAAUUCCUGGUGUAGCGGUGAAAUGCGUAGAUAUCAGGAGGAACACCAGUGGCGAAGGCGGCUUACUGGACUAUAACUGACGUUGAGGCUCGAAAGCGUGGGGAGCGAACAGGAUUAGAUACCCCUGUAGUC